rnacentral:lncRNA from 1 species
UAGAACUAUGAGCAAGCGGCGUGUCUCUUCGUCGGCUUGGAAGAAGUUCUGAGUGGAAAGGUGGUGUUUGAGGGUGUCAAAAGAGAUAGGGUUGGAAGUGGUGGGGGUGGAGGAGGAAGUUGUAGGAGAAAGAGAGAAAGUGGUGGUUGUGGAAGAGGUUGUGUUGGUAGUGGAGAAGGAGGAGGAGGAGGGGUAGGGGUGGAGGAAAAGGGAGGAAGGUGGAAGGGGGAUGGAUUCUGAGUUGGAGAGGCGUUUGAGGAAAGAGUAUUGGUGGUGAAGGGAUGCUAGAGAGUGGGUGGUCAUGGUUUGGGUUUGUGGUGGGAAUAGUGUGACAAUUGG